GACGAACGCUGGCGGCGUGCCUAAUACAUGCAAGUCGAACGCAGAGGGGAAGGGUGAGUAACACGUGGGUAACCUCCCAUCAGAGGGGAUAACACUUGGAAACAGGUGCUAAACCGAUACUGAUGGAUGGACCUGCGGUGCAUUAGCUAGUUGGUGAGGUAACGGCUCACCAAGGCCACGAUGCAUAGCCGACCUGAGAGGGUGAUCAGCCACACUGGGACGGAGACACGGCCCAGACUCCUACGUGAGGCGGCAGUAGAGAAUCUUCGGCGAUGGACGAAAGGCUGACCGAGCAACGCCGCGUAAGUGAAGAGGGUUUUCGGAUCGUAGAACUCUGUUGUUAGAGAAGCGGUAUCUAACCAGAAAGCCACGGCUAACUACGUGCCAGCAGCCGCGGUAAUUC
rnacentral:rRNA from 1 species